GCAGUGGUGGUUCAGUGGUAGACUUAUCACCUUACAUGUGGGAGACGUGGGUUCUAGUCACAGCCAAUGCA
rnacentral:tRNA from 1 species